rfam:Candidatus Woykebacteria bacterium RIFCSPHIGHO2_01_FTLL_39_12 rifcsphigho2_01_scaffold_5313, whole genome shotgun sequence.
GGGCACUUAGCUCAGAUUGGUUUAGAGCGUCUCGUUUACACCGAGAAGGUCGGGGGUUCAAGUCCCUCAGUGCCCA